AUGGAGACGGCUAGUGCUUGGCCUGGGCAGUCGUCCUCUUGUAUCAAGGCUCCAGGAUCCACAGACAAUAUGCUUUUCCUUUUGAAAGGUAGAGUUUUCCUUGGUACCAUGGCUGCAGCAGGAAUUCUAGCCAGAUUUGUUACAACAUUAUCAUUGGCUAAAAAGAAAAGCCCUGAAUGGUUCAGUAAAGGAAGCAUGGCCACAGCUGCCUUACCAGAGAGCAGGUCUUCCCUUGCCUUGCGAGCCCUGGGUUGGGGCUCACUUUAUGCGUGGUGUGGGGUUGAUGUGAUCAGCUUCGCAGUCUGGAAAGCUUUAGAAAUUCACGGUAUGAAAGAUUUUCAAAGUAAAAUGCAAUCGAUAUUUCCAGCAAUUCCCCAAAACUCUGAAACAUCUCUUGAGUGGGAGGAAGCAUUGAAAUCCAAGUGA